rnacentral:lncRNA from 1 species
UUCUCACUAUGUAGUUUAGGCUGGUCUUGAAUUCAGUGUGUAGCCUGGGUUUGCCUCAAAUUUGCUACAUCUGCCUGCCUCAGCCUCCUGAAUGCUGGAAUUACAGGUAUGUGGCACCAUGGCUGGCUUGAAAUUAAUAUAUAAUUCUAUAGAAUAAGUAAAGCAGACUGUUCUCCCCAGUGUUGGUGGCCCUAUCCAAUCUAUUGAAGGCCUGAAUGGAACAAAAAGGUAGGGUAAAGGAGAAUUCUUUCUCUCUUCUGUCUUUGAGCUGGGACACAGGUCUUCUCCUGCCUUUGGAUUUUGACUUGGAUUAAAAUUUAAACCACUGGCUGUCCUUGUUAUCAGGCAUUCAGAUUCAGGCUGGAAUUAAACCACUGGGUCUCCUAGGUUUCCAGUUUGCUGACUGAAGAUCUUGGGAUUUUUCAGCUUCCAUACCAUGCUGAAGGCACAGCUCCUAUCCAGAAAACCCAUUUCCAGUGGCAGAAAUAAGAGUAAGAUUUUACACUGACACGUGCAAUGGCUCUUCAAGUUUCUGCUUAGAACUGGCAUAUAUCUCCAGCUCAUAUUUCAUUGGCCCAAGAAAGAGAUUUAAAAUGGAAUAUGUAGGCAAAUUGCUAGGCACAGUGCUAACAUGUAAGUAGACUCUAAUGCUCUCUGCAAUGAUGCUGAUUGAUGGUGAUGCUGCAGCCUCUCUUGGCACCUGGAAACAUAGACACACACACAUCUUUUCACCCUGCUCCCAGCCUCUGGAUGAUGCCCUCCAAGAUCUCUUCUAACUGCAAGGAACCCGUGAUGCUGUGAUGAUGAAACCUCAGCUGACACCUCAGGCUCCAGAAAGCAGGCUGAGUGGAUGUCUGUACCUUGUGGGAAUGUGGCCAGAUUUUUCAUGUUCAGGCCUGGAGAGUGUGGCUCCCGGACCUCCUAAGGGAGGGCUGAUUCCCCAGGGGGCAUCCAGAAGUAGGGGACCCACUAGGAAAUGUAGCAAGGAGGAGUCUGCAUGGUAGAACUCAGCCCCAGGGCUGUCCUGGCAUCCUGUUGAACUCCUGAUUCCCACUAGCAGCUCCCUGGUCUCUGGCUUUGGGAGUGAAGGUGGCCCAAGGGACACCCACUGUGCAAGUAUUAUGAGUUGGG